UAGCCAGGAGAUAUUAAAUAAGCUGAAGGUGUUGGAUAUCAGUCCUACUCAUUUGCCUUUGACUCCCAACUGCUAGAGUAUAAGCCUGCAGGCUGCAACAGUUUCAUUGUGGGCUGUAGCAGAUCAAGGGUGCCAAGGCUGGACCAUAACCAGCACUGAGAGAGUGGCCAGCAAUCCAGUCCUCUGCAAAGCAUCAGAACCAAGAACCAGCACCAAGGACAGAAAAAAACAAGGCAGAACCAGGAAGAUCAGAAGGCCAUUGCAUAAAAGAAAAUGACUGUGCAUGGGCUGCCCUUUCUUCAUUCCUCCUGUGCCUUUAAUUCCUGCUCUCUCAUCUGAAUGGCCAUGUGCACUCUCAUACAAAAGCACUGCCAGAGGGCGGUCCUCUGUUUGAAGGUGUCCUCAGUUGGAAAGACUGCCCUGUCCAAUUACAAUUGAAAGACAAAGAACCACAAGGAAUGCUGUGGAUCACCACUCUGCCCCUGAGCAGACCUUCAAAGAGGAUGAACAGGUGAGAUGUGAGUUCAUGGAGAGAGGGGGAAACACUCUGCUGAAGAGUAGCUGCUAGACAAGAUUAAAGGAAAACCA